rnacentral:pre_miRNA from 1 species
AGAGGGAUAGCUGGGUCAAAUGGUAGUUUCAUUCCCAAUUUUCCAAGAAAUCUCUAUACUGCUUUCCAUAUUGGCUGUACCAAUUUACAGUCCCACCAGCAAU